AUUGAACGCUGGCGGCAUGCCUUACACAUGCAAGUCGAACGGCAGCACGGGUGCUUGCACCUGGUGGCGAGUGGCGAACGGGUGAGUAAUAUAUCGGAACGUACCUUAUUGUGGGGGAUAACGCAGCGAAAGCUGUGCUAAUACCGCAUAAUCCCUAAGGGGGAAAGCGGGGGACCGUAAGGCCUCGCGCAAUUAGAGCGGCCGAUACCUGAUUAGCUAGUUGGUGGGGUAAAGGCUCACCAAGGCAACGAUCAGUGGCUGGUCUGAGAGGACGAUCAGCCACACUGGGACUGAGACACGGCCCAGACUCCUACGGGAGGCAGCAGUGGGGAAUUUUGGACAAUGGGGGCAACCCUGAUCCAGCAAUGCCGCGUGAGUGAAGAAGGCCUUCGGGUUGUAAAGCUCUUUUGUCAGGGAAGAAACAGCAGCUCUAACACAGUAUGCGAAUGACGGUACCUGAAGAAUAAGCACCGGCUAACUACGUGCCAGCAGCCGCAGUAAUAC
rnacentral:rRNA from 1 species